rnacentral:rRNA from 1 species
AGGAGAGUUUGAUCCUGGCUCAGGAUGAACGCUAGCGGCAGGCUUAACACAUGCAAGUCGAGGGGCAGCGCGUCGUAGCAAUACGAUGGCGGCGACCGGCGAAAGGGUGAGUAACGCGUGAGCAACGUGCCCGUAUGUGGGGGAUAGUCGAUGGAAACGUCGCGUAAUACCCCGUAACAUGAGGAACCGCAUGAUUUCUCAUUGAAAGAUUUAUUGCAUACGGAUCGGCUCGCGUGCCAUUAGGUAGACGGCGGGGUAACGGCCCACCGUGCCGACGAUGGCUAGGGGUUCUGAGAGGAAGGUCCCCCACAUUGGAACUGAGACACGGUCCAGACUCCUACGGGAGGCAGCAGUGAGGAAUAUUGGACAAUGGCCGAAAGGCUGAUCCAGCCAUGCCGCGUGCGGGAGGACGGCCCUAUGGGUUGUAAACCGCUUUUGCGAGGGAGCAAUAAGGUCUACGUGUAGGCUGAUGAGAGUACCUUACGAAUAAGCAUCGGCUAACUCCGUGCCAGCAGCCGCGGUAAUACGGAGGAUGCAAGCGUUAUCCGGAUUUAUUGGGUUUAAAGGGUGCGUAGGCGGCUUGGUAAGCGGGAGGUGAAAUGCCGGCGCUCAACGUCGGAAGUGCCUCCCGAACUGUCGGGCUUGAAUAGUACUGCCGUGGGAGGAAUGUGUGGUGUAGCGGUGAAAUGCUUAGAGAUCACACAGAACACCGAUUGCGAAGGCAUCUCACGAAGUACCGAUUGACGCUGAGGCACGAAAGCGUGGGGAUCAAACAGGAUUAGAUACCCUGGUAGUCCCCU